ACAAAUGGGUUGCUAAGAGACAUUGAUGUGAGGAAGAGAUGGACUGCUGAGUUGAGAACAGCAGGGAACCGCUCCUGGGGCCACAGACAGCAGGCCCAAGCAGCUCUGUGACUCUGAGUUUUGGUCCCAUGUUCAUUAGUUUGACAGGAUGAUCAUUAUAAAAUAUCCCAGGCCAUGUGACUUAAACAGUGGGGACUCAUUUCCUCACAGGACUAGAAGCAGAAGUUCAAGAUCAAGUUAUAGGCAGGGUUGCUCUCUCUGACUUACCAAGGGAGUCUUCUCCAUUGCUUCGGCCUGGUCUAUCCCUCCGUGUGGUCUCUGUUCUGCUUGAAAGACCCUCAGAGCGAGGAGCCUCCACAAAUUGGACAGUUUCCCCCAAAAAACUCAAUGUCCAGUCCAGCUGAUGUAAAAACAAGAGUUCUCAGGGUACUCCAUGGAUUGAACUCAGCAGAAGCCUGGGAGCAGUGGGGUGUGCAAUGCAAUUCUGGGUCAGCUUCCUCCGGCAGAAGGCAAGACAGGGAAGAAGCUGGGGACGAUGGAGACAGGUGAAGCAGAGCAGACUGACACCGAGAAGGGCUCCGAAAUUUGAAAUAAGUCUCUCAGUCUACACGUUUAAUAAAUCAAG
rnacentral:lncRNA from 1 species